UACGUAGGGGGCAAGCGUUGUCCGGAUUUAUUGGGCGUAAAGAGCGUGUAGGCGGCCUGACAGGUCUGCUGUGAAAACUCGAGGCUCAACCUCGAGAUGUCGGCGGAAACCGUCUGGCUAGAGUCCGGAAGAGGAGAGUGGAAUUCCUGGUGUAGCGGUGAAAUGCGCAGAUAUCAGGAGGAACACCAAUAGCGAAGGCAGCACACUGGUACGUGACUGACGCUGAGACGCGAAAGCGUGGGGAGCAAACAGG
rnacentral:rRNA from 1 species